GACGAACGCUGGCGGCGUGCCUAACACAUGCAAGUCGAACGGGGUAAUUUCUUCGGAAAUUACUUAGUGGCGAGCGGGUGAGUAACGCGUGAGAAACCUGCCUUUCAGUGGGGGACAACAGUUGGAAACGACUGCUAAUACCGCAUAAUGUCAUUUGGGGGCAUCCCUGAAUGACCAAAGAUGUAUUGCUGAAAGAUGGUCUCGCGUCUGAUUAGCUAGUUGGUGAGGUAACGGCCCACCAAGGCGACGAUCAGUAGCCGGUCUGAGAGGAUGACAGGCCACAUUGGGACUGAGAUACGGCCCAGACUCCUACGGGAGGCAGCAGUGGGGAAUAUUGGGCAAUGGGGGAAACCCUGACCCAGCAACGCCGCGUGAAGGAAGAAGGCCUUCGGGUUGUAAACUUCUUUUACCAGGGACGAACAAAUGACGGUACCUGGAGAAAAAGCAACGGCUAACUACGUGCCAGCCGCCGCGGUAACAC
rnacentral:rRNA from 1 species